GAGGCCUGUAAUGCUACGAGUUGCCCCUUCAUGCUCCACAAUCCCCGCCCCUCCUCUUAUGACUUUCAUUCCUCGACCAGCCGAAGCGGAAGCGAAACGUCUUGAAUCCCUCAUAAGCUAACCUCUCUGUCUCCCAUCUCCACCAUCUCAACUCCCCACAAAGUCAUGGAUGCAAGAGAAUCCAACCUCCUCUAGGGUUUACGACGUCCGUCCCAGGGCAGAAUCAGUGGGUAUGAUGGCGAUGGCGGAGCACGACCGAAUCUCAAGAAGAUCGAUCUAGAGGCUAGGUGGGGCACCAAUAAUCUCAUCGGCAUCCUUCAGGGCAAGCCAGAGCCAAAUUUAGCUUCAAGGAUUAAAUGAGGAAGACACGCGUGAUUUGUUCUAAUCCGGUGCGGAUCUAGGGUUUCCGCCCCUGUUGUUUUUCUCUAUUUGUCGCAUACCAUGAUAUACAACAUCUACACUACUUGCAGCAGCUCUGUGACAAGUAGCAUGAAUCCUUCGAGGAGUGCAUCCGUGCCAUGGUUAGUUUAUUCUUUCUCGGGCCAAAAAUAUGGAAAUCUUGGAGAAGUACUAUAUCUAACCCCCAUCUCUGUUGAGGAGUAUGUAAGUUGGGUCUCAUGUGACUUAUACGAGGUGAGGAUUCAACAACUCUUGGUAGAGCUUCUAGCAUGGCAAUGGUAGCGUUUUUUAAGCUGACUCUGCCACUACGGUAGAAGGUUUCUGGGCUGCUCAUUUCUAUCGGUGGUAAGCUAUUGAGGGGGGGACACUGACAAUGUUUAUCGAAUUUGAGGGGUUGUGGUCCUUUUGACCUGUUGUUGCAAUAUACUUGACCAAUGCCAUUAGAUAGAUGAACUAAUCCAGUAACUAUGCGCUCAGUUCCUCCUGGACAGCCAGGCCAAACUGGACCGGUUUAUCUCUUCUUCUCUAGUAACAUGUCAGGUGCAUGGUGCAGCUUAAAAUAGCCAUCACAAACUCAGAAAUUAAUGGGCAUCUGAGGAGACAUGUGAUGGGCUUUAUAAUACCAUUCUCGAUAUGAAUCUCGCCAUCAACUCCUUACCUAGCACCUCCAUGUAGUAUUUCUGAUGCUGAUUUGAUGAUCAUCGUCUUUUUCAGGUUGAAGGUCUUGAUCAUCGUAUAUUCAAAGUUACAUUAGACACAUUCAUAGUUCCUGAUGGAAUAAGUUUUCUUUCUCCUGACUUUUCAUUUAUUCUAUUGUUAUACUAGUAUCCAUUAGUUCACAUCUGAAAAAUGGCAUUUUGUUUAUUUUUUAGAGUUGCAGGUAGGUGACUGCCGACUUUGCUACAUUGUUACUAGAUUUUAAGUUCAGUUAAACUAGGUGACAUUUCUGUACAAGUUUUCGUGUAUGCGGCAAAUCUUUUUUGUCUCCUAUAGUUAUUUUAUUCUGGAAUAUAGUUAUGAAUUACUUGAAUUUUCAUGUUACUCCAAGAAUAACAAUAGUUGUUCAGCUCAGGUAACAUGAUAACCACACGUACAUGGAUCUACCAUACAAGUUUAUUACUUUUAGCUAUAUGCUAAUUGUGAUGCACUCUUUUCAUGUAUAUAACAGGCAAGUGUCAUCACUUAAAGACUUCUUUGUUUAAAAAAAUUCUGUUAACUCUUUAUUUCAAAUUCUUUGUAUUAACACUGCUGUUACAGUUCGGUGCAAGAAAUUCUUUUUAUGCACUCAUUUGAAAGAUAUGUUUUCCCUACAAAAGAGAAAUUCUUUGACGCACAUGCAAUUCACUUUUUUUCUUUACACUGUCUAUCUCUCCACAUUAGAAAUUUUAUCAAAAAAUAUCCCACAGCAACGCGCGGGGCUUCAUCUAGUUUUUGUAGAUUUUAGUUGCCUCUGGAAAUAUGUUCAUGUUUUAUGAUUUCUUUUU